UGAGCGCACAUCACAGAGAUGUACAGAAGCGAACAUUUGUAGUUAAAAAGUAUAUAAAUAUUGUUUUGUUUCUCAAACUAAUCAAUCGUUUGCAUUCAGAAGACCUUUAUUUGUCCACUGGAGUCGUGUGGAUUAUUUUGAUGCUCCCUAAAUAUGGAUUUUGGACCAUCAAGAAAUGGAGCACAUUCACUUACAUUGUUUAAAGGAGGAGGCCUGAAAUAAAAUCCUAAAAGUCUUAAAUUCUGUUUUGAUGAAGAAAUAAACUCAGAUAUAUCUUGGAUGGCCUGAGGUCUCUUUAGUGAGUUGGAUCGGUGCUGUUGUCUGGGGAGCCACAGAUUGUAGUGGCCAUAUGGAGGGAGAGAAGAAAUGCUCUGAGACGAGUCUCCAGGGGCCCGAGAUCUCUAAAUGGACUCACAGUUCUGAGAUCAGGAUGAAAAACUCCAUCUCUCUGAUCAUGCCCCAGAUGCUCUACUGAGAUCAGCUUCACUUUGUGGUGACAAAUUGUGUCAGGUGAACCGCAGCAUCUUGGGGUUGCAAUGGCACAGUUAAAGCAUUUUCCACCAGUUACCAUGGUGAGGUGGACAUGACUGGACGUUCUGACCUGCCUCUGAGUUCAUUGAGCACUAGGGGCCGAGACAGACACUCAAAUAUGAUCUGCUCUACAGAGCAUGACAUUCAUAACCAGUUUGAAUGCUAAAACAGUGCUGGAAUAACAAAGUUGUAACAACUGAUUGGAAAAAUAAAAAAUAAA